UGGAAGCCCACUUUUCCUGAAAUUGAGAUAAUAUCUAAGCAGAGAUUUUCUCAAGUGAAACACACCACUACCACAUGUGCAGUUUGAUCCAUUCAGCUUCCUCCGUUUCCCAAGAGGGCGGAUGGAUGAGUUCAGCGAGGUUCGGACAGGAAAUAUCAUGUGCGUAGCCCCAGAGAGAUGGCGCUCGCAUCGAGCUGUCCGCUUUCUCUUCAAGUCAACUCGCAUCAUAUGGAAGAAAUCAAGCACAAAAUUUUUACCAUUGAACUCCACCUCUGUCACUGAUUUCUUUAUUCGGAGAUCUUUCUUAGCCAUUGUAACAAUGUUCUCAGGGAAAUCAGUCCACUGACCCUUCUGAUAGUACAUCAAACGUUGUGGAAGCCCACUUUUCCUGAAAUUGAGAUAAUAUCUAAGCAGAGAUUUUCUUAGGUGAAAUGCACAACCACCACACAUGCUGUUUGAUCCAUUCAGCUUCCUCCGUUUUCCAAGAGGGCGGAUGGAUGAGUUCAGCGAGGUUCGGACAGGAAAUAUCAUGUGAGUAGCCCCAGAGAAAUGGGUCUCACAUCGAGCUGCCCGUUUUCUCUUCAAGUCAACAACAAUGUUUUGGCUCCUAUCCAAUACCUUUCCGUAUUUUGUUUCCAUUUCUACCUACAGGAUCAAUCCCUAUCCACUGGUCUAAAGCCAAAGGUUCAAAGAUAACAGCUAUGUGCAACUCGGUCUUGAAUCCGCCUCAGAGAGACCACG
rnacentral:lncRNA from 1 species